rnacentral:misc_RNA from 1 species
GAUGAAGAACUCAGCGAAAUGCGAUAAGUAAUGUGAAUUGCAGAAUUCAGUGAACCAUCGAAUCUUUGAACGCACAUUGCGCCCGGCAGUAAUCUGCCGGGCAUGCCUGUCCGAGCGUCAUUUCUGCCCUCGAGCGAGUCCAGCAUCUAGGUGCUGGGCCCGCCCGGCGUUGGGGCACUACGGGAAGCCCUGUGCUGUCCCCCGUAGGCCCCGAAAUGAAGUGGCGGUCCUGCCGCGGCGCCCCCUGCGUAGUAUAACAGCUCGCUUCGGGACCCCGUGGAGGCCUGCCGUCAAACCUUACUCUCUAAGUUUGACCUCGGAUCAGGUAGGGUUACCCGCUGAACUUAAGCAUAUCAAUAAGCGGAGGA